rnacentral:rRNA from 1 species
AUUGAACGCUGGCGGCAUGCCUUACACAUGCAAGUCGAACGGUAACAGGUCUUCGGAUGCUGACGAGUGGCGAACGGGUGAGUAAUACAUCGGAACGUGCCUAGUAGUGGGGGAUAACUACUCGAAAGAGUGGCUAAUACCGCAUGGGAACUACGGAUGAAAACAGGGGAUCGCAAGACUUUGUGCUACUACAGCGGCCGAUGGCAGAUUAGGUAGUUGGUGGGAUAAAAGCUUACCAAGCCGACGAUCUGUAGCUGGUCUGAGAGGACGAUCAGCCACACUGGGACUGAGACACGGCCCAGACUCCUACGGGAGGCAGCAGUGGGGAAUUUUGGACAAUGGGCGCAAGCCUGAUCCAGCAAUGCCGCGUGCAGGAUGAAGGCCUUCGGGUUGUAAACUGCUUUUGUACGGAACGAAAAGCCCUGGGUUAAUACCCUGGGGUCAUGACGGUACCGUAAGAAUAAGCACCGGCUAACUACGUGCCAGCAGCCGCGGUAAGAC